GGAGGAGGAGGACCCAAUGUGAGCCCGACACGGAACGCCGCGGUGUGUCGGCCGCCCAGCAGUCCGAUCAUGCGACACCGUUACAUCGAGAAGCCGGCCCGCCCUCGCACGCAGCCGCCCCCUGGUGCGAAGCCGGCGCGGCAGCACAGCGAGUACGCGAUGCGCGGCCACCAGGAGGAGCCGUCGACGAGCGCGCCCGUGACCCCGCUGACCCCGACGCGCGGCG